rnacentral:rRNA from 1 species
UACGUAGGGUGCGAGCGUUGUCCGGAAUUAUUGGGCGUAAAGAGCUUGUAGGCGGUCUGUCGCGUCUGCUGUGAAAAUCCGGGGCUCAACCCCGGACUUGCAGUGGGUACGGGCAGACUAGAGUGUGGUAGGGGAGACUGGAAUUCCUGGUGUAGCGGUGAAAUGCGUAGAUAUCAGGAGGAACACCGGUGGCGAAGGCGCACAUCUGGCCCGAUACUGACGCUGAGGCGCGAAAGCUAGGGGAGCAAACGGG